UCCUUCCGCAGCCGCCGCCGCCCGCCCGCCCCGCCGCCGCGGCGGCGGCUGGGCCCGCGAUGCCGAACCAGAAGGGCGGCAAGGGCAAGAAGAACAAGCGCGCCAACAGCAGCGGCGACGAGCAGGAGAACGGGGCGGCGGCGGGCGGCGGAGCCUCGGCGGCGGCAGGCGGCGGUGCCUCGGGUGGCGGAGCCGGAGCGGCGGCCGCGGGCGGCGGCGGCGGAGCGGGCGGCGGGGCAGGCGGAGCGGCGGCCGCGGGCGGCGCGGCGCCCGGAGACGUCAAGAGCGAAGCUCCUUGUGCUACUCCACUGAUCUGCAGCUUUGGAAGGCCAGUGGACCUGGAGAAGGAUGACUACCAGAAGGUUAUAUGCAACAAUGAGCACUGUCCGUAUAGCACUUGGAUGCACCUUCAGUGCUUCUACGAGUGGGAAAGCAGCAUCCUCGUCCAGUUCAAUUGCAUUGGCAGAGCCAGGAGCUGGAACGAAAAGCAGUGUCGCCAAAACAUGUGGACCAAGAAGGGAUAUGACCUGGCUUUUCGCUUUUGCUCCUGUCGGUGUGGGCAGGGUCAUUUAAAGAAGGACACUGACUGGUACCAGGUGAAACGAAUGCAGGAUGAUAAGAAGAAGAAAUCAGUGUUGGAGAAAAGUACGGGAAGGUCCAUGGCGGAGUCAGCAGAGGAGGCCAAAAAGGGCAGGCCGGCCAACAAGCCCCAGAAAGGCUUGAGUAACGACCUCCAGCGAAGGCACUCGAUGGACAGGCAGAACUCCCAAGAGAAGGGUGUGAUGGGCGGCAGCUACGCCGUUCGUUCACCUUGUGUCUCUCCUGGCCAAUCCCCGCCCACCGGCUACUCUAUUCUUGCCCCCACACACUUCAGUGGGCCUCGUUCCUCGCGAUACUUGGGAGAGUUUUUGAAGAACGCCAUUCACCUGGAGCCCCAUAAGAAGAACAUGGCUGGUGGGGGCAUGUUCAGGAAUGCACAUUUUGAUUACGGGGCAGCUGGCUUGCAAGCACAUAGGUCAGGACACUUUGAUGCUCCUGUGCAGUUUUUGAGAAGGCUCGAUCUAUCUGAGCUGCUCACCCACAUCCCCAGGCAUAAAUUGAAUACUUUCCAUGUGCGGAUGGAAGAUGAUGCCCAGGUGGGCCAAGGGGAAGACCUUCGGAAGUUCAUCCUUGCUGCUCUCAGUGCCAGCCACAGGAACGUUGUAAACUGUGCUCUAUGCCACAGGGCGCUGCCAGUGUUUGAACAGUUUCCGCUGGUGGAUGGGACCCUAUUCCUUAGCCCAUCAAGACAUGAUGAGAUUGAAUAUGAUGUUCCCUGUCACCUUCAAGGAAGGCUUAUGCACCUCUAUGCUGUUUGUGUAGACUGCUUAGAAGGGGUUCACAAAAUUAUCUGCAUCAAGUGCAAGUCCCGAUGGGAUGGAAGCUGGCAUCAGCUGGGAACUAUGUAUACCUACGAUAUUCUGGCAGCAUCUCCCUGUUGUCAGGCUCGACUGAACUGUAAGCACUGUGGGAAGCCAGUAAUAGAUGUACGGAUUGGCAUGCAGUAUUUCUCUGAAUACAGCAAUGUCCAGCAGUGUCCUCACUGUGGAAAUCUAGACUACCACUUCGUGAAGCCAUUUUCUUCAUUUAAAGUUUUGGAGGCUUAUUGACGAAAGCUUUGCUUUAGUAAUAGCUAUUUUAUGGGUAUUUCAACUUUAUUACAUAUCUUUUUAUAGGAUUCAUUCUGUGAUGAAAUUUAAUUUCUUUUCUAACUCAAAGAGCAGCUUCUUUGUCAGUGUACAUAUUAAUAUGUAUAUAUAUAUAUAUGUCGUUAAAACCAGAAUCCUCCUGACAAGAUCUCUGUGAAGGUUGGAGGCAAGCCAAUUUAAUGGCCUUUGAAUAUACUCCAAGUGUGGGGUAAAGAUCAGCUAAAAAUUAUUUGGGUUUAUUUUUUUGUAUAAUUGUAAUACAGUUUAUAGCAAGGGUGUGGGGAGACAUAUGGGACAGAGAAAUACGUCCAAUUGAAAAAUGGGUAGGGUUGUUCCUCCAGCUUGGUGAAAAUGGGAAAUCCUUGGAAAGAAAUGGUUCUUUUACUGCUGAAUUCAUUCAGCCCUUUGCAUCGGUCCCCAUGGGCGCAGGAGCUGGUCCCGUGCUGCCGGUGCCGCCAGUCCCUUCAGCAGGCUUUCUUUCAGAUUUCCCGAAACGGGGGGUAAACUAGGGUGUCAUGACAAGUGAAUGUAAAUGUAUGCCAGCAGAUGCAAUCUUGAAUGAGGUUUUUUGUUUUGGCAUAGCAUCUUCCUGCUGUGUGUGUUUGAUGUGCGUUGCCCUCAUGGCAAUAGUGCUGCUUCCAACGGGGCUGUCAUGUGCCCAGCUGGGUCACCUGCUCAUACCAAAACAAGCUGGAGAUCUUAAAAUGCUUUAUUUAAAGGUGUUUCUUCACAGACAUUUUAGGGAGGGAACUGGCUGAGCUGAGUGGGUAUGUGUUUGUAUGUGCCUGCUGGGGCUGAGGCUUUGCUGCCUGCUGCAGACUGGUGUGACUGAUGUGAAAGGAGAACCAUGAAGUGGGAUCUGGGCCCUCAGAUCUGUAAGAGCUGAGAGGUACUGAAUGUACAAAACAUGGCAUCACUUUUUAAAGCAAUUAAUUGCUGCAUCCUUAUAUUUCAGACAG